rnacentral:rRNA from 1 species
GGCUAAACCAUGCACCGAAGCUGCGGCAGCGACGCUUAUGCGUUGUUGGGUAGGGGAGCGUUCUGUAAGCCUGCGAAGGUGGCCUGUGAGGGUUGCUGGAGGUAUCAGAAGUGCGAAUGCUGACAUAAGUAACGAUAAAGCGGGUGAAAAGCCCGCUCGCCGGAAGACCAAGGGUUCCUGUCCAACGUUAAUCGGGGCAGGGUGAGUCGACCCCUAAGGCGAGGCCGAAAGGCGUAGUCGAUGGGAAACGGGUUAAUAUUCCCGUACUUGGUGUUACUGCGAAGGGGGGACGGAGAAGGCUAUGUUGGCCGGGCGACGGUUGUCCCGGUUUAAGCGUGUAGGUGUGUGUUCCAGGUAAAUCCGGUUCACUUUAACACUGAGGCGUGACGACGAGGCACUACGGUGCUGAAGCAACAAAUGCCCUGCUUCCAGGAAAAGCCUCUAAGCAUCAGGUAACAUCAAAUCGUACCCCAAACCGACACAGGUGGUCAGGUAGAGAAUACCAAGGCGCUUGAGAGAACUCGGGUGAAGGAACUAGGCAAAAUGGUGCCGUAACUUCGGGAGAAGGCACGCUGACACGUAGGUGAAGUGAUUUACUCACGGAGCUGAAGUCAGUCGAAGAUACCAGCUGGCUGCAACUGUUUAUUAAAAACACAGCACUGUGCAAACACGAAAGUGGACGUAUACGGUGUGACGCCUGCCCGGUGCCGGAAGGUUAAUUGAUGGGGUCAGCGCAAGCGAAGCUCCUGAUCGAAGCCCCGGUAAACGGCGGCCGUAACUAUAACGGUCCUAAGGUAGCGAAAUUCCUUGUCGGGUAAGUUCCGACCUGCACGAAUGGCGUAAUGAUGGCCAGGCUGUCUCCACCCGAGACUCAGUGAAAUUGAACUCGCUGUGAAGAUGCAGUGUACCCGCGGCAAGACGGAAAGACCCCGUGAACCUUUACUAUAGCUUGACACUGAACAUUGAGCCUUGAUGUGUAGGAUAGGUGGGAGGCUUUGAAGCGUGGACGCCAGUCUGCGUGGAGCCGACCUUGAAAUACCACCCUUUAAUGUUUGAUGUUCUAACGUGGACCCGUGAUCCGGGUUGCGGACAGUGUCUGGUGGGUAGUUUGACUGGGGCGGUCUCCUCCUAAAGAGUAACGGAGGAGCACGAAGGUUGGCUAAUCCUGGUCGGACAUCAGGAGGUUAGUGCAAUGGCAUAAGCCAGCUUGACUGCGAGCGUGACGGCGCGAGCAGGUGCGAAAGCAGGUCAUAGUGAUCCGGUGGUUCUGAAUGGAAGGGCCAUCGCUCAACGGAUAAAAGGUACUCCGGGGAUAACAGGCUGAUACCGCCCAAGAGUUCAUAUCGACGGCGGUGUUUGGCACCUCGAUGUCGGCUCAUCACAUCCUGGGGCUGAAGUAGGUCCCAAGGGUAUGGCUGUUCGCCAUUUAAAGUGGUACGCGAGCUGGGUUUAGAACGUCGUGAGACAGUUCGGUCCCUAUCUGCCGUGGGCGCUGGAGAACUGAGGGGGGCUGCUCCUAGUACGAGAGGACCGGAGUGGACGCAUCACUGGUGUUCGGGUUGUCAUGCCAAUGGCACUGCCCGGUAGCUAAAUGCGGAAGAGAUAAGUGCUGAAAGCAUCUAAGCACGAAACUUGCCCCGA